GUACUGAGGGGCCCAAAAUUGAACACAGUACUUGAGGUGCAGCCUCACCAGAGCUGAGUACAGGGGGACAAUCACCUCCCUGGCCCUGCUGGCUACACUAUUCCUGAUACAAUCCAGGGUGGCAUUGGCCUUCUUGUCCACCUGGGCACAGUGCUGGCUCCUGUUUCACUCUCAACAUGCA